AACACUUGGAAACAGGUGCUAAUACCGCAUAACAGUUUAUGCCGCAUGGCAUAAGAGUGAAAGGCGCCUUCGGGUGUCGCUGAUGGAUGGACCCGCGGUGCAUUAGCUAGUUGGUGAGGUAACGGCUCACAAAGGCCACGAUGCAUAGCCGACCUGAGAGGGUGAUCGGCCACACUGGGACUGAGACACGGCCCAGACUACGACGGGAGGCAGCAGUAGGGAAUCUUCGGCAAUCGACGAAAGUCUG
rnacentral:rRNA from 1 species